rnacentral:rRNA from 1 species
AUACGGAGGAUGCAAGCGUUAUCCGGAUUUAUUGGGUUUAAAGGGUGCGUAGGCGGUUUGCUAAGCGGGAGGUGAAAUGCCGGCGCUCAACGUCGGAAGUGCCUCCCGAACUGGUGGACUUGAAUGACUCUGCCGUGGGAGGAAUGUGUAGUGUAGCGGUGAAAUGCUUAGAGAUUACACAGAACACCGAUUGCGAAGGCAUCUCACGAAGGGUUGAUUGACGCUGAGGCACGAAAGCGUGGGGAUCAAACAGGAUUAGAUACCCUGGUAGUCCACGCAGUAAACGAUGAUGGCUAACCGCUGGAUCCAUCGGUUCAGUGGCCAAGCGAAAGCGAUAAGCCAUCCACCUGGGGAGUACGACCGCAAGGUUGAAACUCAAAGGAAUUGACGGGG